rnacentral:rRNA from 1 species
GUAGGGAAUAUUGGGCAAUGGAGGCAACUCUGACCCAGCCAUGCCGCGUGCAGGAAGACGGUCCUCUGGAUUGUAAACUGCUUUUGAAUGGGAAGAAACGUAGCUUUGCGAAGCUAUUUGACGGUACUAUUAGAAUAAGCACCGGCUAACUCCGUGCCAGCAGCCGCGGUAAUACGGAGGGUGCAAGCGUUAUCCGGAUUUAUUGGGUUUAAAGGGUGCGUAGGCGGCUUUAUAAGUCUGGGGUUAAAGGCGGCAGCUUAACUGUACGCAUGCCCUGGAAACUGUGAAGCUUGAGUGACUUGGAGGUAGCUAGAAUUCCCUGUGUAGCGGUGAAAUGCAUAGAUACGGGGAGGAAUACCGAUUGCGAAGGCAUGUUACUACGAGUAAACUGACGCUGAUGCACGAAAGCGUGGGGAUCAAACAGGAUUAGAUACCCGGGUAGUCC